rnacentral:lncRNA from 1 species
AGCUAUCAAAUGCUCACGUUUUAUGAUUAAAUACCACCAAAUCCCAAUUCAUUAUCUGAGCAAUUGUAGGCAGUAGCUAGCUCCUGAUACUUCCAUGCCCUUGCGUAGUAUUCGAGAUUCUGUUGAGCUAGCGUACCUUUGUUCAGAAGACAAAUUCGUUUGCCCAAGAUGUCGGAGGACGCCUCUCAGCCCUGUGGGCUUUGGUAGUGGUGUAGAGUGUAGACACUCCACAGACCGUAUACACACAUGCAUGUGCAAUGACCAAACUACAACAAACUAUGAAAGAGGGAACAAUUCACUUCGAAUAGCAACAACAAUAAGUGGAGCAACAAACUACAAAAGUGUGGCAGGGUAGUAGUAAAAAGUAGGUGCCUGAAGUACACACAUUAAGGGAAAAAAACUAGUUUCAGUUUAUUGCACCAUCAGAUCAGUACAGACCUAACUCGUUUUAUUCCUUACAUAGGUUAGCCUGCAUGAACUCUAGCUUAGUCCUCGGACAAAAACACCACGUACUGAACUGCCUCAUAAGCUACACGAGAAUACAGCAUGAUAUAUGAAGCCUACCUAAAACCGAUCGAAUUAUUACCAUGCAGUGGCGGCGGCGGAAAUCUACUCCGGAGUAAUACCAGUAAGUAGUAAAGCUACAGGCUCUUCGCCACUUCGCCUAUGUAUAUAUAGUGACAAGUGAGCCACCACCCGCAGCAGAUCGCAUAACACACACCAGUUUCAUCAGAAGGUGGCUCCUCAGGCAGCAGGAGCGCAGUCAUAGUCGUCGUCAUCGUCGUCACUGUCUGUCUCCGCCAUCCUUCGUCGCGCGCUCAGACACCCAUCGCGAAGGGCGCCCGAGGAGGACGCAAUGCUGCCGCCUUGGACGAGGUAGCUGGCGGCCUCCGCUGACACUGGUGCCAUGGCAGUUUAAAGUGUGUGCGCGCGCGAAUUACAAGCUACUACCAAAUUAAUUGACGCCGAGCAGCAAGCUCUUGCUUCCUCAAGCCUCGGGGUAGAAGAAGAAGCUUCUACUGUGGAUGUGUUGUGCUAGUGCUAUCUUAGCAGUGAUGUGAGUACUGGGUAGUGUCUGUGAUUUUGCACGGAGAGGGAGUGGCCGCGUGUGGCGGUGGCUUUAUAGCGCGCGGCCGGCGGAGGGAAG